rnacentral:lncRNA from 1 species
GGAAACCGGGUCUGCUGCGGAGGAAGCUGCUGCCCAUCAACUUUCCAGAAGAAAAAGAAAACAGGAAGCCAAACAAGACGGACACUGAAGCCGCAGCCACAACAGCUGCAGCAGAAUCUCCCAAAGGGCCAUGAAACAACAGGACAUACGUAUGAACGGGUGUUACAGCAGCAAGGGUCUCAAGAGAGGAGUCCAGGCCUCAUGUCGGAAGACAGCAACUUACAUUAUGCUGACAUUCAAGUGUGCAGCCGUCCCCAUGCCCGGGAAGUGAAACACGUGCAUUUAGAAAACGCUACAGAGUAUGCGACCCUUCGCUUCCCCCAGGCCACACCUCGCUAUGACAGCAAGAACGGGACCCUGGUGUGAGCGCUUGGGAGGAAGGCCCAGUCCAUCGUUAACCACUACACCUGUGGGGGAGAACCUACUGCUUUGGGGAAUUGGGUGGCAACCCAGGGAUGUUGUCCACGUUUUAAGCUUAAAGAACUCCAAAGCCCCUGGAAUUGUGGGCGUCCCAUUUUCUCCCCUGGCCUCUUACUUGCCACUGUUAGGUUGGAGUUAAUAGUUGGUUUAGCUAUGGGUGGAUAGCUAAACUUAGCUAUCCACAUGAGGUUAGGUGGAGUGUGCAGGGAGGUAGGUCUUCGACCCCACCAUUGUUGCUCCUGCUCUUGCAAAGUGCAGAAAGAGCAGGUAAAAAGUUAGCCCAUAAGCACGUGGGCUGAUCUUGUUGGACUUUAAUUAAUGGUAUCCUUUUUCACACACCUUAAACUCCAAAGCUGAAGGGGAGGUGCUCCGGAAAAGCAUUCUGAGCUUUUACAUUCAGACACUAGGGCUGGCUUGGGCCAUUUCCUCAGUGGCUGAGUCAGGUUCCAGACCUUAACAGACAAAUGGGGGAAGGGGGCUGAGGCGUGGAGGAAACGCUUUCAGGACCUCAAGUCAGUGAUAACCGACAGCACAGUGAGGCCUGGAAACUUCCCUCGGAGGGACUGUUGGCUCUCGCAGGUGCGGGGCCGCUAGGAUCAAUAAACGGCCUGAGAA